GGACGGGUGGAGCAAGGAAAAGAGAUGAGGCUGAGAACAGAGGGUCUAUUCCAGCUCGACGUCUGGGAGCAGCGCCCUGGACACAGACACAGCUGCUGUGAGAGCUCCAGUGCAGAUGCUUGCUGGAAGGGGUCACAGCUGGAACAGCUGUGCAGGUGGAACAUGUACAGUCACUCAGACUGACCUGCUGUCCUUCUGUACCUGAUGAAUCUUCCAAUGUGUCAUCUCUGCUAGAGCAUAUGAAAAAGCAGGAUAAAUAUCUCUUCCUGGGAACUAAGAAUUAAUUACCAACCUGCUGUGCUCACCUUGUGACACCAACCUGCUGACCAUGAACCUGCUGUGCCAGCCAUUCUUUCAGAGGCUGCACUUCUUUACAGGCCGAGGAAGAGGGAGCUGGGUUAAUGACUUCGGAACCCCUUUUGAGGCACCCUGGGAGCCAUCCCCCAAUCUAGAGAGGAAGAAAAAGAUUGGAGAUGACAACAGAGGUGUCCACAAUCUCUCAGGAAGUGGUGAGGGGUGCUCCCCAAACAGCUGCAAAGCCAGAGGAAGCCCCCCAUUAGGACAACUGAAGAGACACUAGGAGGACCUUUUGUUGCUUAAAAAUCUCUCUGCCCAUCAUGCCUCACUGUCAGCCACCAUCUCUUUGGUCAUGAAUCUGCCUUUGUAAACACAGUGGCCUCUGAAGGAACCACCACCACUCAUCCCGGGUCCUGGGCGCUGUGCUCAUCUUCAAACUUCCAGCCUCAGAUCAAAGUCGCGGCAGAUAUGUUCUCUCAUCAAAAACGUUCAAAGACCAGAAGAGAAUACUCCAGAUUCGGUUCCUCCUAGACACCAACCCAGUCCGCAAACCUCAGUUGGUGAUGCUCAGGCUUCUUUUGCUGAUAUUUGUAAACGAAAUCCUAACCCUGGACAAAGCUGGGCACCGGUACAAGGAAGUCGCUGUCCCAUCAGGGCUUCCUCUGCGCCCGUGGGAAGCGGGUCGGAGCGCAGCUAUGGAACCAGCAAGCAAGGAAGGACCCUGGCUCGCUUCUUACAUCUGACCCAUUCGCGAAUCUGCUUUUUCCACCUAAAUCCCUGAGACUGCUUCCCCCAUUGCCAUUGGUCUAGAAGGGACCAAAUGACUCGAGUGGGGGAGGCUUUCCUCACCCUCCCCCCACCCCAACCCGAUGCUCCCAAGACCCGCGCAACUUGCGGAUCAGUUCUAGACAGCUGGGAGGAGCCACACGGCCCAUCUCGCCCCUUCCCGGUGCGCCAGCCACUCACAAGCUCCGAGAUGAAAUGCAGUGCAGGGCAGGUGAUUAAGGCUUUGAUGCCACUGGACUGAGGGCUGUCACUCAUGCUGGCCUUGGGACAGGACUCCAGCGGCUCUGGCUUUGUGCUGAAGCCUCCUUUGCUCGGCAGAGUCCAGUGGCCCGCGGGCCCCGGCAGGCCAGAGACCCAGGAGGGAGGAG
rnacentral:lncRNA from 1 species